AGUGAACGCUGGCGGUAGGCCUAACACAUGCAAGUCGAACGGCAGCACAGUAAGAGCUUGCUCUUACGGGUGGCGAGUGGCGGACGGGUGAGGAAUACAUCGGAAUCUACUUUUUCGUGGGGGAUAACGUAGGGAAACUUACGCUAAUACCUCAUACGUCCUACGGGUGAAAGCAGUGGAUCUUCGGACCUUGCGCGAUUGAAUUAGCCGAUGUCGGAUUAGCUAGUUGGCGGGGUAAAGGCCCACCAAGGCGACGAUCCGUAGCUGGUCUGAGAGGAUGAUCAGCCACACUGGAACUGAGACACGGUCCAGACUCCUACGGGAGGCAGCAGUGGGGAAUAUUGGACAAUGGGCGCAAGCCUGAUCCAGCCAUACCGCGUGGGUGAAGAAGGCCUUCGGGUUGUAAAGCCCUUUUGUUGGGAAAGAAAAGCAGCAGGUUAAUACCCCGCUGUUCUGACGGUACCCAAAGAAUAAGCACCGGCUAACUUCGUG
rnacentral:rRNA from 1 species